rnacentral:rRNA from 1 species
GACGAGGGGUCCUAGCGUUGUUCGGAAUCACUGGGCGUAAAGCGUAUGUAGGCGGGUUUCUAAGUCAGGUGUGAAAUCCCACGGCUCAACCGUGGAAUUGCAUUUGAAACUGGAAGUCUUGAGUGUGGGAGAGAUUGGUAGAAUACCUGGUGUAGUGGUGAAAUACGUAGAUAUCAGGUGGAAUACCGGUGGCGAAGGCGGCCAAUUGGCCCAACACUGACGCUGAGAUACGAAAGCGUGGGGAUCAAACAGG